rnacentral:rRNA from 1 species
CGUAGGUGGCAAGCGUUGUCCGGAAUUAUUGGGUGUAAAGCGCGCGCAGGCGGUUCCUUAAGUCUGAUGUGAAAGCCCCCGGCUCAACCGGGGAAGGUCAUUGGAAACUGGGGAACUUGAGUGCAGAAGAGAGGAGCGGAAUUCCACGUGUAGCGGUGAAAUGCGUAGAGAUGUGGAGGAACACCAGUGGCGAAGGCGGCUCUUUGGUCUGUAACUGACGCUGAGGCGCGAAAGCGUGGGGAGCAAACAGGAUUAGAUACCCUGGUAGUCCACGCCGUAAACGAUGAGUGCUAAGUGUUAGAGGGUUUCCGCCCUUUAGUGCUGCAGCUAACGCAUUAAGCACUCCGCCUGGGGAGUACGGCCGCAAGGCUG